rnacentral:rRNA from 1 species
GACGAACGCUGGCGGCGUGCCUAAUACAUGCAAGUCGAGCGGACAGAAGGGAGCUUGCUCCCGGACGUUAGCGGCGGACGGGUGAGCAACACGUAGGUAACCUGCCCCUUAGACUGGGAUAACUCCGGGAAACCGGAGCUAAUACGGGAUAAUAAAGAGAAUUACCUGAUUUUCUUUUGAAAGACGGUUUCGGCUGUCACUAAGGGAUGGGCCUGCGGUGCAUUAGCUAGUUGGUAAGGUAACGGCUGACCAAGGCGACGAUGCGUAGCCGCACUGAGAGGGUGAUCGGCCACACUGGGACUGAGACACGGCCCAGACUACUACGGGAGGCAGCAGUAGGGAAUCUUCCGCAAUGGACGAAAGUCUGACGGAGCAACGCCGCGCGAGUGAGGAAGGCCUUCGGGUCGUAAAGCUCUGUUGUGAGGGAAGAACAAGUACCGGGGUAACUACCGGUACCUUGACGGUACCUCACCAGAAAGCCACGGCUAACUACGUGCCAGCCGCCGCAGUAA